rnacentral:rRNA from 1 species
UGGAGUAAAAGGCUAUGGNUCAACCAUAGUGCGCUCUGGAAACUGUCUGACUUGAGUGCAGAAGGGGAGAGUGGAAUUCCAUGUGUAGCGGUGAAAUGCGUAGAUAUAUGGAGGAACACCAGUGGCGAAAGCGGCUCUCUGGUCUGUCACUGACGCUGAGGCUCGAAAGCGUGGGUAGCGAACAGGAUUAGAUACCCUGGUAGUCCACGCCGUAAACGAUGAGUGCUAGGUGUUAGGCCCUUUCCGGGGCUUAGUGCCGGAGCUAACGCAAUAAGCACUCCGCCUGGGGAGUACGACCGCAAGGUUGAAACUCAAAGGAAUUGACGGGGGCCCGCACAAGCGGUGGAGCAUGUGGUUUAAUUCGAAGCAACGCGAAGAACCUUACCAGGUCUUGACAUCCCGAUGCUAUUCUUAGAGAUAGGAAGUUACUUCGGUACAUCGGAGACAGGUGGUGCAUGGUUGUCGUCAGCUCGUGUCGUGAGAUGUUGGGUUAAGUCCCGCAACGAGCGCAACCCUUAUUGUUAGUUGCCAUCAUUAAGUUGGACACUCUAGCGAGACUGCCGGUAAUAAACCGGAGGAAGGUGGGGAUGACGUCAAAUCAUCAUGCCCCUUAUGACCUGGGCUACACAUGUGCUACAAUGGUCGGUACAACGAGUUGCGAGCCGGUGACGGCAAGCUAAUCUCUGAAAGCCGAUCUCAGUUCGGAUUGGAGGCUGCAACUCGCCUCCAUGAAGUCGGAAUCGCUAGUAAUCGCGGAUCAGCACGCCGCGGUGAAUACGUUCCCGGGCCUUGUACACACCGCCCGUCACACCACGAGAGUUUGUAACACCCGAAGUCGGUGAGGUANCCUUUUAGGGGCCA